rnacentral:rRNA from 1 species
UAAUUUGACUCAACACGGGAAAUCUUACCGGGUCCGGACGUAUCGAGGAUUGACAGAUAGUUAUACAUGCCCUACAAGCAAGUAGGAGUCAGGUUUUAAACCNAAUGGCUCUUUCNUGAUUAUAUGAUAGGUGGUGCAUGGCCGUUCUUAGUUCGUGGAGUGAUCUGUCUGCUUAAUUGCGUUUCAAAUUUUUAACCGAGGACCGGGUUUUGGUUUGGCNAGUGGUCCUACGAUGACUGUGAACUGU